UAUAUUAUUAGUAGACACGGGGUUUUGCCAUUUGGUUAGGCUGGUCUCGAACUCCUGACCUCAAGUGAUCUGCCUGCCUCAGCCUCCCAAAGUGCUGGGAUUACAGGCUUGAGCCACCGUGCCCAGCCGGUGUCCACCCCCUGUCUAGCACCAGCCAGACACUGUGCCAGCGCACCCUCAUCUUCAGGCCUGGGUGACACCAGAGGUGUGCUAUGGUGUGUCCUGGACAGGGGCUGGGCCAGAGGACAUUGCUCGUCCAGGCAGAAACAUCAGGUCUGGGGAGGGGCACAGGAAGAAUCAACCUACCCUGGCAGGGGCCUGGCCUUGAAGCAGGAAGAGAUGCCGUGGCAGGAGGUUGGCCCCAGUGUUUAAAAAAACCACAUAGCAACUAUUUCUCGCCCAGGAUGCCCAGGAAAGCAAGGGUACUGGGGGAUUAGAUCCAUCACCAAGAAGGAUACAGUCAACCCUGAACUUCUCUGGGGCCGCUUCUAAUCCACUAUAGGGCUUGGGGCAAAUUUUAAAAGGUACCCUUCCCGUGGGUUAGCGAACUGGCCUAGUACAGUGAUUUUUUUGUUAGGAUUUGCUGCCAUCUGCUGGACAAUUUCAUUCACAACAUACAAAUCUGCAGUAUGAAAAGAGAUGGGAGGGGCCUUUGUGCAGUGCACGCCCUGCGCAACUGUAUAUAGCAGCUGUGUUUCCUCUUCUGGGUAGAAACUCUGCUCCCCAGUAGGCGAUUGUUAGUUUUACCGGGGCUCUGCUGGAACAGGCCAGUGAUCCACUGCUCUCUUGCUUUUAUCCCUUACAGGUGCUGCGAUAUUUUGACUACGUUUUUACAGGCGUCUUUACCUUUGAGAUGGUGAUCAAGAUGAUUGACCUGGGGCUCGUCCUGCAUCAGGGUGCCUACUUCCGUGACCUCUGGAAUAUUCUCGACUUCAUAGUGGUCAGUGGGGCCCUGGUAGCCUUUGCCUUCACGUAAGUCUCCUCGCAAGGGUUCCUCUUGCCUCUUUUCCCCCAACCCCCAGCCUGGGCCACACAUCGGAUUAUAGGACAUGUUCUCAGGGUCUAGGGAUGGGGUGUGUGGGCUCCGGGGAUGUGGGAGAUAUCAGCAUGCCACCAGGAAGAGCUUCGAUUGGCUUUUUGCAUGAUGUCCAUGGAGGAAGAAGGAGAAGGGACCCCCCCUCCUGCCAACCUUCUACCUCCUCACACAGCAACGGGCCUCAGCCACAUCACUGGCCGCUUGCUGUGCAGCUUCCUGUAGACUAGCCUCGCCGGAACAUCUCAUCCCCCUACUACUCCACAAGCGCCGCCCAAACCGCUGUCUCUUUGGAAAGUCCCUAAAGAGACAAUCAGGAAAUGAAUGUGCAUGAGAAUUCUGACCCCCUCCCUAUGCCUGAAGGCCCCGUAGUUGUAGACCUGGUGACUCCCUUUGUGUGUCUUUCACUUCUCCUGGCAGUCCUAGGAUUCUCUGCCCUCUGAAAGGCCAUGUGUCAUCAUGCAGCUCCAAGAUGGCGCCCCAGUUGUAGGCAGCCAUUUCAGGAUGACACCCAAGCUCUUAGUAGUCAUCCCAAGAUGGCAUCCAAGUUCUGGGUGGCCAUUCUAAGACGGCCCCUGAGUUCUGAGCUAUCAUUCCAAGAUGGCCUCUGAAUUUGGGGUGGUCAUUCUUAGAUGGUCCCUGAGUUCCAAGGUGACCUUCAAGUUCUGGGUAGCCAUUCCAGGAUGGUCCCCAAGCUCUGGGUGGCUAUUCCAAGAUGGCCCCAAGUUCUAGGCAGCCAUUGCAAGAUGGCCCCUGAGUUCCAGGGUGGCCCCCAAGUUCUGGGCAACCAUUCCAAGGUGGCAUCCAAGUUCUGGGUGGCUAUUCCAAGAUGGCCUCUGAGUUCUGGGCUACCAUUGCUAAGAUGGCCUCUGGAUUCUUGGUGGCCAUUCUUACAUGGUCCCUGAGUUCCAAGGUGGCCUUCAAGUUCUGGGUAGCCAUUCCAAGAUGGUCCCCAAGUCUUGGAUGGCUACUCGAAGGUGACCCCCAAGUUCUGGGCAGCCAUCUCAAGGUGGCACCCUAGUUCUGGGUAACCAUUCCAAAAUGGCACCCAAGUUCUAGGGCAACCAUUUCAAAAUGGCCCCCAAGUUCUGGGUGACUAUUUCAAGAUGGUACCCAACAGGUGAGUGGCCAUUAGCCCUUAGGGCCCUGAUAGCAGACUUAGCAGUACAUUCCUGAAGUUGUAGACAUUUGGAGCAGGAUGAAAAAUAUCUAAUCAGUCUUUAAUCAAGAAACAAAUCUUGGGGACCCUGGCUGUGCCCAUCAUGGUGAAUCAUUCCCUGACAGGUUUUGAAAGGAUCUUGACACAUUCACUCCCAUGGUGAGAAAAUCAGGGGCUUCCUCCUGUGCCUCUGCCUCUAGGCUCCCUCCUCAGCCAAUCUGGAGGGGCCCUUGAAUGGUCUCCCUCACCAAACAAUGAGGACUUGGUUUGUCAGGAGGGCCAAAAUAGUGGCCCAUUUCCAGUAGAAGGGCUAUAAAGUAGGCCACACUUAGAGUCUUCUCUGGGAACACAAUGAGGUCAAGUCGUGUUAGAACAAAAAAUCUCCAGAGUUUCUGGAUGCCUCAGAGCUGGGGAUGUAUCAUGAAGGUUGGGAGGCUGAUUAUACUUCUUUCUCUUUCUCUUUCACUCCUUCCUCCUCUUUCUCUUCUCUUUUUGUUCGUUUACUCUUUUCUUUUUCUCUUCUCCUCUCCCUCCCCACAUCCUUCCCUCUCCUCAAAGCUUUUCAGUGUCUAUUUGACUACUAGAGCAAUGCACGGUGGCUUACACCUGCAAUCCCAGCACUUUGGGAGGCUGAGACAGGCAGAUUGCUUGAGCCCAGGAGGCCAAGACCAGCCUGGGUAACAUAGGGAGACCCCAUCUCUAAAAAAAAAAACAAAACAAUUAGCCAGGCAUGGUAGUAUGCCUGCAGUAGCAGCUACACGGGAGGCUGAGGUGGGAGAAUUGCUUGAGCCCAGGAGGUUCAAGGCUGCAGUGAGCCGAAAUCGCACCACUGCACCCCAGUCUGGGGAACACAGGAAGAACUUGUCUCAAAAAAAUAAAAAGUUUAAAAAAUUAAAAAUCAAUGAAUUUGCUAUUUAGAAUAUUAUGCUUUAUAUGGUUACUGAAUAAUUUUAAUAGUGAUGAGUACAAAAAAACAGGUUUAGCAAGCUGUUCUGUAGGUUAAAAAGUAAAUAAAUAAUUAAUUAAACAAAAUACAAUGCACAUCAAAUUAGGGGACAAAGAUUGUGACAAAUAAGACAAGGAGUCCAUGUCUUUAAAAUAUGAAAAGCAGUUACAAAUCAAUAAGAAACACUACUUCUCAAUGGAUAAAUGGGCAGAGGACAUAAACAGAAAUCUGAUAGAAUGCUGGCAACUAGUAAAAAUGGAGGUAAAUCAACCCUUGGAAUUCAGAGAAAUGUAAAAUAAAAACGAGAUACAAUUCAUUCCCUAUCAAGUUAGCACUGUUCCCGCCGCACCCCCCCACACACACACAAAAUGAUUUUUUUAGCUAAUAAACAGCAUAUAUAAGAAUGUAUUAUAAUAGGCUGGGUACAGUGGCUCACGCCUGUAACCCUAGCAUUUUGGGAGGCCAAGGGAGGGGGAUCACCUGAGGUCAGCAGUUCGAGACCAGCCUGGCUGACAUGACGAAACCCUGUCUCUACUAAAAAUACAAAAAUUAGCCAGGCAUGGUGGCAGAUGCCUGUAAUCCCAGCUACUCAGGUGGGUAAGGCAGGAGAAUUGCUUGGACCCAGGAGAUGGAGACUGCAGUGAGCCGAGAUCAUGCCACUGCACUCCAGCCUGGGUGAGAAAGCAAGAUUUUGUCUCAAAAAUAAAAAAAAGCAAUGUAUGAUAAUAAAAUAUACUUUUCUCCCCCUCUAUCACCUAUUUAAGCAGGUCCUUCAAGGUGUCAGGUAGACAUCAUGCUAUGAGAAAAUUUAAAUCCUGAAAAGCCAAAAUGUUUUACCACCCUCAGCCUGGAAUGAAUCCUUCUCCUAUGGAAAUAACCUAAGGGUUUCUCCACCCCUCUCUGCCUCUCACCCCCUUCCCUCCCUCUCCUCUCCUUUUCUAUCUCCCUCUUUCUCUUCCUCCUUUCCCCUCUCUUCCCUCUCUCUUCUUCCCUCUCUCUGUCUCUUUCUGUUUGUCUCUCUCCUUUUUCCCUCUGCUUGCUUUCUCCUUUUAACCCCUCUCAGUUUCUAUCUUUUUAUUUUCCUCUUUCUCUCUCUCUCUCUUCCUCUCUUUCUCUCUCACUCCCUGCACUGUUGAUGACCUAUGUCCUUGGGUGAUGUGGGCCUCCCCUGGACCAUGUAGCUUGGAGAAAGCUGACCCUCUGUCAUCGGCCUGGCAACAGGGACUUGGCCCCCCUCCCCUGCAUUCUGAUGAGGAAUGGUAUUCAGACAAAGGCAGAUCCCAGGACACAGGAGGACAUGCUCAGGCAGGGACCCCCCGCCCCUUUCCUCUGGGGCAGGGUCUGCUCAGCAGCCUCCAAGAUUCCUAGGGCUCAAGAGGUGGCAGGUAGCUCAGGGCACUAGGGCAGGCAGUGGGGUGAAUAUGUCAGUCAUAUCCACCUGUCCACACACAAUGCUUACCUUGGCCACCUGUGCCCAGGGGAAUGGGUUUUAUCCUGUGAAUCCUCCCAGUGACCACCACUGAGUGUGACACAGAUAAAUGGUACCAAGCCCAAGCUGUUCAGGUCUCCAAUGUCACUUUACUCUCAGACCUCUGUUGUAGCUGACAUACUGUAAUGCUGAGGAGGGCCGGGCACAGUGGCUCAUGCCUGUAAUCCUAGCACUUUGGGAGGCCAAGGCAGAUGGAUCACCUGGGAUCAGGAGUUCAAGACCAGCCUGGGCAACAUGGUGAAACCCCAGGCAACAUGGUAAAACCCCGUCUCUACUAAAAAUACAAAUAUUAGCCAAGCGUGAUAGCAGGCGCCUGUAAUCUCAGCUACUCGGGAGGCUGAGGCAGAAGAAUUGCUUGAACCUGGGAAGUGGAGGUUGCAGUGAGCCAAGAUUGCACCACUGCACUCCAGCCUGGGCAACGGAGCAAGACUCUGUCUCAAAAAAAAAAAAAAAAAAAAAAUGCUGAGGAGGUGACUGUCCCACCUGCAUCCUCCAAGUUGACCAUCACAAUUUAGGGAGGGGAAUGACCUACAAAGGACCCAGGAGCAAGCCUUUCAAUUGUUGAGCUUUUGCCAUUAUGGGCCAUCGUUUACAACAUGCUGUUUCUAGAUUCUCUGGAGGUACAAUUAGCCUCCUCUUUUAAACAAAGCUAAUCUGCAAAAGCAAACCAAAAAUUCUUUUCCACCAGAGAUCAAUUAGCAGAAUGAGCUGGGUGCGAUGGCUCACACCUGUAAUCCCAGCACUUAGGGAGGCCGAGGCAGGUGGAUCACUUGAGGUCAGGGGUCCAAGACCAGCAUGGCCAACAUGGUGAAACCCCAUCUCUACUAAAAAUACAAAAACUAGCUGGGUGUGGUGGGGACGGCCUGUAGUCCCAGCUACUUGGGAG
rnacentral:sRNA from 1 species